rnacentral:tRNA from 1 species
GGAAAUGUGCCCGAAUUUUAAGGGUUACUUUGAUAGAGUAAAACACAGGGGUUUAAACCCCCUCAUUUCCC